GCUGAGCGUAGCUGGACCUGCGGACAUCCUGCUCAUCUUCCUAACUCGUCAUCUCAGGUCCCUGUCAAGGGCGGCAGACGUGGGGCGAGGGCGGGCUGUGUGUGGACAGAGUGAGUGCUCGCCUCCUGCCCGCCUCCAGCGACCCUCUCUGCUUUCAGACGAGAUGCUUUGGAAAAGCAAAGAGCCCCAGGAGCAGUGUGAAAGCCAAGGAACAAGCUUCCGUUCCCUCACCCUCACUCAGUUCACCUGUGCACCAGUCAAUGGCAGUUGUGACCACGGAGGGAGAGGCAGAGAGAGAGGAUCCCAAGGUGGCUCUGUGCUG